UACGUAGGGUGCGAGCGUUUAUCGGAAUUACUGGGCGUAAAGCGUGCGCAGGCGGUUUUGUAAGCCAGAUGUGAAAUCCCCGGGCUUAACCUGGGAAUGGCAUUUGGGACUGCAAGGCUUGAGUGCGGCAGAGGAGACUGGAAUUCCUGGUGUAGCAGUGAAAUGCGUAGAUAUCAGGAGGAAUACCGAUGGCGAAGGCAGGUCUCUGGGCUGACACUGACGCUCAUGCACGAAAGCGUGGGGAGCAAACAGG
rnacentral:rRNA from 1 species